CCUACGGGCGGCAGCAGUGAGGAAUAUUGGUCAAUGGACGAGAGUCUGAACCAGCCAAGUAGCGUGAAGGAUGACUGCCCUAUGGGUUGUAAACUUCUUUUAUAUGGGAAUAAAAUGUUCCACGUGUGGGAUUUUGUAUGUACCAUAUGAAUAAGGAUCGGCUAACUCCGUGCCAGCAGCCGCGGUAAUACGGAGGAUCCGAGCGUUAUCCGGAUUUAUUGGGUUUAAAGGGAGCGUAGGUGGAUUGUUAAGUCAGUUGUGAAAGUUUGCGGCUCAACCAUAAAAUUGCAGUUGAAACUGGCAGUCUUGAGUACAGUAGAGGUGGGCGGAAUUCGUGGUGUAGCGGUGAAAUGCUUAGAUAUCACGAAGAACUCCGAUUGCGAAGGCAGUUCACUGGACUGCAACUGACACUGAGGCUCGAAAGUGUGGGUAUCAAACAGGAUUAGAUACCCUUGUAGUC
rnacentral:rRNA from 1 species